CCAGACUCCUACGGGAGGCAGCAGUGGGGGAUAUUGCACAAUGGAGGAAACUCUGAUGCAGCGACGCCGCGUGAGGGAAGACGGUCUUCGGAUUGUAAACCUCUGUCUUUGGGGAAGAACGGUCACUGUGCUAAUCAGCAGUGAAUUGACGGUACCUGCAAAGGAAGCACCGGCUAACUCCGUGCCAGCAGCCGCGGUAAUACGGAGGGUGCGAGCGUUAAUCGGAAUUACUGGGCGUAAAGCGCUCAUAGGCGGUAUGUCAAGUCAAGGGUGAAAUCCCCGCGCUCAACGUGGGAACUGCCUUUGAAACUGGCAAACUGGAGUGUGUGAGAGGAUAGUGGAAUUCCAGGUGUAGGAGUGAAAUCCGUAGAUAUCUGGAGGAACAUCAGUGGCGAAGGCGACUAUCUGGCACAUAACUGACGCUGAGGAGCGAAAGCGUGGGUAGCAAACAGGAUUAGAUACCCCCGUAC
rnacentral:rRNA from 1 species